CAGCAGCCGCGGUAAUACGGAGGGGGUUAGCGUUGUUCGGAAUUACUGGGCGUAAAGCGCACGUAGGCGGAUCAGAAAGUUGGGGGUGAAAUCCCGGGGCUCAACCCCGGAACUGCCUCCAAAACUCCUGGUCUUGAGUUCGAGAGAGGUGAGUGGAAUUCCGAGUGUAGAGGUGAAAUUCGUAGAUAUUCGGAGGAACACCAGUGGCGAAGGCGGCUCACUGGCUCGAUACUGACGCUGAGGUGCGAAAGUGUGGGGAGCAAACAGGAUUAGAUACUCUGGUAGUCCACACCGUAAACGAUGAAUGCCAGUUGUCGGGUAGCAUGCUAUUUGG
rnacentral:rRNA from 1 species